rnacentral:rRNA from 1 species
UACGUAGGUGGCAAGCGUUGUCCGGAUUUACUGGGUGUAAAGGGCGCGUAGGCGGAUUGGCAAGUCAGAUGUGAAAUCCAGGGGCUCAACCCCUGAACUGCAUUUGAAACUGUUGAUCUUGAGUGUCGGAGAGGCAAGUGGAAUUCCUAGUGUAGCGGUGAAAUGCGUAGAUAUUAGGAGGAACACCAGUGGCGAAGGCGGCUUACUGGACUGUAACUGACACUGAGGCUCGAAAGCGUGGGGAGCAAACAGG